AUUGAACGCUGGCGGCAUGCCUUACACAUGCAAGUCGAACGGCAGCACGGGGCAACCUGGUGGCGAGUGGCGAACGGGUGAGUAAUGCAUCGGAACGUACCUUUCAGUGGGGGAUAACGUAGCGAACGUUACGCUAAUACCGCAUAUUCUGUGAGCAGGAAAGCAGGGGAUCGCAAGACCUUGCGCUGAUUGAGCGGCCUAUGUCAGAUUAGAUAGUUGGUGAGGUAAAGGCUCACCAAGGCGACGAUCUGUAGCGUGUCUGAGAGGUUGAUCCCGCACACUGGGGCUGACACUCGGUGCAGACGCAUACGGGAGGCAUCUGUGUGGAAUUUUGGGCAAUGUGGCCAACCCUGAUCCAGCCAUGCAGUGUGAGUGAAGAAGGCCUGCGGGUUGUAGAGCUCGUUCGGCCGGGAAGAAAUCGCACGGGCUAAUACCCUGUGUGGAUGACUGUGCCGAAAUAAGAGGUACCGGCUAACUACGAGCCAGCGGCCGCAGUAAAAC
rnacentral:rRNA from 1 species